CUAGCGACUUCAGAGUUUGAUCCUGGCUCGGGACGAACGCUGGCGGCGUGCCUAACACAUGCAAGUCGAACGGAGUAAUUCCUUCGGGAGAUUACUUAGUGGCGAACGGGUGAGUAACGCGUGAGGAACCUGCCUCUCAGUGGGGGACAACAGUUGGAAACGACUGCUAAUACCGCAUAAUAUGUACGGACCGCAUGAUCUGUACAUCAAAGCUUUAUGUGCUGAGAGAUGGCCUCGCGUCUGAUUAGCUAGUUGGUGGGGUAACGGCCUACCAAGGCGACGAUCAGUAGCCGGUCUGAGAGGAUGAACGGCCACAUUGGGACUGAGAUACGGCCCAG
rnacentral:rRNA from 1 species